CGUGUAGGCGGUCAGGUAAGUGGGAUGUGAAAUGCCCCGGCUCACCCGGGGACCGGCAUCCCAAACUGCCCGACUUGAGUAUGGGAGAGGAUGAGGGAAUUCCUGGUGUAGCGGUGAAAUGCGUAGAUAUCAGGAGGAACACCGGUGGCGAAGGCGCUCAUCUGGCCCAAUACUGACGCUGAGGCGCGAAAGCUAGGGGAGCAAACGGGAUUAGAUACCCCGGUAGUCCUAGCCGUAAACGGUGAUCACUAGGUGUUGGAGGCAUCGACCCCUCCAGUGCCGCAGCUAACGCAUUAAGUGAUCCGCCUGGGGAUACGGCCGCAAGGUUGAA
rnacentral:rRNA from 1 species